rnacentral:misc_RNA from 1 species
UGCCAGGGGGGACGGUGGAGC